UGUGCAGUUUUUUUCCCUGGGAUUUGCUGUCCAGGACUUCUCUUGGGUGUUCGAGGGACCCACACCUGCAUCUUUCAAUUGUGUUCUUUUUUUUUUUUUUAAGCUUUGUUUUUGUUGGAAAGGCAGAUCUAUGGAGAGAAGGCGUGAGAGACAGAAAGAUCUAUCUGUUGAUUCACUCUCCAACUGGGACAUGAACCAGUGCUCAUGUGGGAUCCCAGCCUUUGCUGGUAGAGGAUUAGCCAGUUGAGCUAUCAAUUGCUUUCAUUUAUUUCAACCUGCCUACCUCAGGAUUCAUGAACAAGCCAGCUGCGGAGCAGAGUGCAGUGUUAAGACUUUGGACUCCUUGCUGCUGUGGUCUCCUUGGGUCUGGGUGAGCAGGGCCUCCACAGAGGGGAGAGGAAGUCAGGAGGCGUAUUCUCACCUCCUUGCCAGUGGCCUUUUCUCCUUUGGUCAGCUGUUUC